GACGAACGCUGGCGGCGUGCUUAACACAUGCAAGUCGAACGGAAAGGCCCUGCUUUUGUGGGGUGCUCGAGUGGCGAACGGGUGAGUAACACGUGAGUAACCUGCCCUUGACUUUGGGAUAACUUCAGGAAACUGGGGCUAAUACCGGAUAGGAGCUCCUGCUGCAUGGUGGGGGUUGGAAAGUUUCGGCGGUUGGGGAUGGACUCGCGGCUUAUCAGCUUGUUGGUGGAGUAGUGGCUUACCAAGGCUUUGACGGGUAGCCGGCCUGAGAGGGUGACCGGCCACAUUGGGACUGAGAUACGGCCCAGACUCCUACGGGAGGCAGCAGUGGGGAAUAUUGCACAAUGGGCGGAAGCCUGAUGCAGCAACGCCGCGUGCGGGAUGAUGGCCUUCGGGUUGUAAACCGCUUUCGCCUGUGACGAAGCGUGAGUGACGGCAAUGGGUAAAGAAGCACCGGCUAACUACGUG
rnacentral:rRNA from 1 species